rnacentral:rRNA from 1 species
UUUUCCUACGGGGGGCAGCAGUGGGGAAUAUUGCACAAUGGGGGAAACCCUGAUGCAGCGACGCCGCGUGAGUGAAGAAGUAAUUCGUUAUGUAAAGCUCUCUCAGCAGGGAAGAAAAUGACGGUACCUGAGUAAGAAGCCCCGGCUAACUACGUGCCAGCAGCCGCGGUAAUACGUAGGGGGCAAGCGUUAUCCGGAUUUACUGGGUGUAAAGGGAGCGUAGACGGCAGUGCAAGUCUGGAGUGAAAGGCGGGGGCGCAACCCCGGGACUGCUCUGGAAACUGAACGGUUGG